GAUGAACGCUGGCGGCGUGCCUAAUACAUGCAAGUCGAGCGAACUGACGAGAAGCUUGCUUUUCUGAUGUUAGCGGCGGACGGGUGAGUAACACGUGGAUAACCUACCUAUAAGACUGGGAUAACUUCGGGAAACCGGAGCUAAUACCGGAUAAUAUUUUGAACCGCAUGGUUCAAAAGUGAAAGACGGUCUUGCUGUCACUUAUAGAUGGAUCCGCGCUGCAUUAGCUAGUUGGUAAGGUAACGGCUUACCAAGGCAACGAUGCAUAGCCGACCUGAGAGGGUGAUCGGCCACACUGGAACUGAGACACGGUCCAGACUCCUACGGGAGGCAGCAGUAGGGAAUCUUCCGCAAUGGGCGAAAGCCUGACGGAGCAACGCCGCGUGAGUGAUGAAGGUCUUCGGAUCGUAAAACUCUGUUAUUAGGGAAGAACAUAUGUGUAAGUAACUGUGCACAUCUUGACGGUACCUAAUCAGAAAGCCACGGCUAACUACGUG
rnacentral:rRNA from 1 species